rnacentral:pre_miRNA from 7 species
UCUUUGGAGAUGUGGGUGGUCACAAUUUUGGAUGAGCCCCCAAAUGAAAGACUCUGAAAGGAGCCCCUUGCUCAGGCCUCAGGACAAUAGCGGACACCCACGAACUCAUGAUAGACC